UCUUCUUCUUCUGUUCUUAGGCGACAGUAACCAAAUCUCUUCUUCUCCAGCAACACCACUAGAAUCAAAUCGCUUCAUCUUUCAAUCAGUCAUAUAUGUUCGUAAGCGACACCACCAGGGCCACCACCAUCUAUUAGACUAUUACAACUUCCAACUCCUUCUUCUUCACUUCUUCUUCAGUAGUUUCAAAAACUAGCAGCAAGUCAACAUCUUGAUUAACUCGGUUUUGUUUGAGAUCGAUUUGGAAUAUCGUGGAUUGAAUCGAUUGAUUUUUUUGAAAUUAAACAACAACAACAGGUAAUUGUGAAAUGGGUUUGAUUUAUUUGAUCUUUGUUUUGCUUCUAUCAAUUGAUUUUGUGAAAGAAGAAGAGAGUUGGGUUUGAGAUGGAAUGGUAUUUUAGUUGCUGAUACAGGUAAUUGGUGGUGGUAUGCUGCUCAAAUUACAGAAGAAGAGGAGUUGGGUUUGAGCUGAAAUCGAAGAAGAGAACAAGAAGAAGGGAUUAAAUGGGCUCUGGUGGUUGCUACUUGCUAUUACAGUGAUGCAAAUUAAAAGGAUUUGUGAUGUUGGUGUUGUUUUGGUGGAUUUGCAGCUGUUUAUUGAUUAUGUGUAUACAAACUCCACUGUUUAUUCUGUGAUUAUUGAUUCUGUUUCAUUCUGUACUUUGUAACAAAAAAUUUCUGCUAAUAAUUGUGUUCAUUAGGGUCUUUGAA